AAAAAUAGAGAUCAGGAAUGCGACCGCAAAAGACAAGGACCGCGGGCGCAAAAACGUAAGACGAACGUUUUGUUGUCAUAUCGAAAGCUUAUUUUUGGUGAUUCCUUUAAAAUAUUAUGUAAAUUCUUUGUUAAUACACGAAAAAACUGAAAGUUAAUUUUUCCACAUAAAUUGUCUUGACUUUUCUCACGAUGGAGAAACAUUUGGUCCUUUGGAGCCGGAUCUAGAGUGGAAAAAUAGCGAGAUUUGACCACGAAUUUGACUCGAAAAAUUUGACUAUUAAAUGGCGACAAACGAAAACAUUCUUCGAGAACGAAAGAAGUCAGCGAAAGGAAGACUUACGAAAGCGAGAAAUCAACUAAAAAGCUUGCUGAACACUCAAUUAUACGGACAGUUGACGAGUAAGAAUGCUAUUCGACGAGCUAUUAACAAGGUAAGCUCAGAAUAUGACAUUAUCGAGAAAAUUAUUAAUGCUUUAAAGGAAAUUUAUGCUGUUAGUACAUCCCACGACGAAAAUACGGA